GUAGUCUCGCACAGAUGCAUAUCAAUAAGCGGAGGAAAAGAAACUAACAAGGAUUCCCCUAGUAACGGCGAGUGAAGCGGGAAGAGCUCAAAUUUGAAAUCUUAAAGGGUUUCCCUUUACGAAUUGUAGUUUAAAGAAGUGUUUUCUGUUGAGGUUUUGGUAAAAGUUCUUUGGAAUAGGACAUCAUAGAGGGUGAGAAUCCCGUAUUUGACCUUUACUUUCAACUUUGUGAUACACUUUCAAAGAGUCGGAUUGUUUGGGAAUGCAGUCCUAAAAUGGGUGGUAAAUUUCAUCUAAAGCUAAAUAUUGGCGAGAGACCGAUAGCGAACAAGUACCGUGAGGGAAAGAUGAAAAGAACUUUGAAAAGAGAGUUAAACAGUACGUGAAAUUGUCAAAAGGGAAGCGUUUGACACCAGUGUUGUUUUUCUGAAAAUCAAUUAAAGAACUGUUUAUGCUAAGCUGUUUAGACUUUAUCAGCUAAUCUGUUUAGUUUUGAGCUUUUCUUUAAUGCACUUUUCAGUUAACAAGUCAACAUCAAUUUCUUUUGCUGUAAAAAAGCUUGAGGAAGGUGGCUUGAGAUUCGUCUUAAGUGUUUAUAGCCUCUUGCCUAUGCAGUCGGAGAGAUUGAGGUCUGCAGCGUAGAUCCUUCGGGGCUAAAUGCAUUUGUGCUAAGUUAUAGCAUUUUAUAGACAACUUGUUGACUAUGAUUUGUCUUGUAGCUUACUCGCUUAUGUUAUUUUACCUACGCUUAGGAUGUUGAUCUGUAGUGCGUGCGC
rnacentral:rRNA from 1 species